rnacentral:rRNA from 1 species
GAUCCUGGCUCAGGAUGAACGCUGGCGGCGUGCCUAAUACAUGCAAGUAGAACGCUGAAGGAAGGAGCUUGCUCUUUCCGGAUGAGUUGCGAACGGGUGAGUAACGCGUAGGUAACCUGCCUGGUAGCGGGGGAUAACUAUUGGAAACGAUAGCUAAUACCGCAUAACAAUAGAUGUUGCAUGACAACUAUUUGAAAGGGGCAAUUGCUCCACUACCAGAUGGACCUGCGUUGUA